GAAAGAGAAGUCAGAGCGCACGGAGGAUGCCUUGGCUUCGGCAGGCGAAGAAGGACGCGGUAAGCUGCGAAAAUGUCCGGGGAUUUGCAAACGGGAGUUGAUCCGGACGUGUCCGAAUGGGGCAACCCGCACGGCUGAAGGCCGUGCACCGGCGCGAGCCGGGGCGAACCCGGGGAACUGAAACAUCUUAGUACCCGGAGGAGAAGAAAGAAACAGUCGAUUCCCCUAGUAGUGGCGAUCGAAGAGGGAGGAGCCUAAACCGCCGCGUUCGAGGACGCGGCGGGGUUGUAGGACCGGCGAUGUCCGCAUCCGCGCAAACCGGAGCAUGUCUGGAAAGCGUGGGCGCAGAGGGUGACACCCCCGUACGGGUAACGUGCGGAUGCGGAUGCCGGCACCUGAGUAGGGCGGGGCACGUGGAAUCCUGUCCGAAUCCGCGGGGACCAUCCCGCAAGGCUGAAGACUGCCGAAGACCGAUAGUGUACCAGUACCGUGAGGGAAAGGUGGGAAGCACCCCGGGAGGGGAGUGAAAUAGAGCCUGAAACCGUGCGCUUGCAAGCGGUCGGAGCACCAUUAUGGUGUGACGGCGUGCCUUUUGCAUAAUGAGCCUACGAGUUGCCUCACGCCGGCGAGGCUAAGCCAUUCAGUGGCGGAGCCGCAGCGAGAGCGAGUCUGAACAGGGCGUUCAGUCGGCGUGAGCAGACGCGAAACCUAGUGAUCUACCCUUGUCCAGGGUGAAGGGGCCGUAACAGGCUCUGGAGGCCCGAACCAGUUUCCGUUGAAAAGGGCUUGGAUGAGGCGAGGGUAGGAGUGAAAGGCCAAUCAAACUGGGAGAUAGCUCGUACUCCCCGAAAUGUCUUUAGGGACAGCCUCGUCAGUUUCCCGCGUGAGGUAGAGCUACCGAUUGGAAGCGAGGGCUUCGCCGCCUAUCAAUUCCAGACGAACUCCGAAUGCGCGCGGUGAUCUAUGACGGGAGUGAGUCGUCGGGUGCUAAUAUCCGGCGGCGAGAGGGUAAGAGCCCAGACCUCCGGCCAAGGCCCCCAAGAACGGUCUAAGUUGAGACAGAACGAAGUGGCACCGCAGAGACAGCCAGGAUGUUAGCUUGGAAGCAGCUAUUCAUUCAAAGAGUGCGUAACAGCUCACUGGUCGAGCGGAGCCGCGUGGAUGAUGAUCGGGCAUCAAGACCGUCGCCGAAGCCGAGGACGACGCGCCUUAGCGCGCGCCGUGGUAGGGGAGCAUUCCGGUCGGCGCCGAAGGCGCGGCGCGAGCCGUGCUGGAGCGUCCGGAAAAGAAAAUGUAGGCAUGAGUAACGACAAGAGAUGUGUGAACAUCUCCGCCGAAAACCCAAGGUUUCCGGGGCCACGCUAAACGGCCCCGGGUCAGCCGGGAGCUAAGGGUAAGCCGAACGGUGAUCCCGAUGCCGAUGCGGUCAACAUUCCGCAGCCGGCGCGCCAGGCGCACACGCGACCGAGGAGUGACACUGCCGCGGGGAGACGGAAUUCCCCGUUGAAGGCCGUAGGGAGACCGAAAGCCGACAGUACGGCGAGCCUUCGGGCGAGCCGACAGAGCAGGUAACCAUACUCGCGAGAAAAGCGUGUGCGCGCGAAGCGUCGCGCCGCCCGUACCGUAAACCGACACAGGUGGGUGGGGAGAGAAUCCUUAGGCGCUCGAGUGAAUCACGGCCAAGGAACUAGGCAAAUUGACCCCGUAACUUCGGGAUAAGGGGUCCCGCGGCGACGCGGGCGCAGAGAAAUGGCCCAGGCGACUGUUUACCAAAAACAUAUGGCUAUGCGAAAUCGAUAAGAUGACGAAUAUGGCCUGACACCUGCCCGGUGCCGGAAGGUUAAGAGGGGGGGUCACCGAAAGGGAAGCCCUGAAUUGAAGCCCCGGUAAACGGCGGCCGUAACUAUAACGGUCCUAAGGUAGCGAAAUUCCUUGUCGGGUAAGUUCC
rnacentral:rRNA from 1 species